ACGGUCGCAUCACGUUGAGACACCGGUUCCCAUACGAUCACUGAAGUUAAGCAACGUUGAGCAUGGUUAGUAACUAGAUAGGUGACUGCUUGGGGAUACCAUGUACUGUAA